rnacentral:rRNA from 1 species
UGGGGAAUAUUGGACAAUGGGCGAAAGCCUGAUCUAGCCAUGCCGCGUGUGUGAAGAAGGUCUUCGGAUUGUAAAGCACUUUAAGUUGGGAGGAAGGGCAGUAAGCGAAUAGCUUGCUGUUUUGACGUUACCGACAGAAUAAGCACCGGCUAACUCUGUGCCAGCAGCCGCGGUAAUACAGCGGGUGCAAGCGUUAAUCGGAAUUACUGGGCGUAAAGCGCGCGUAGGUGGUUCGUUAAGUUGAAUGUGAAAGCCCCGGGCUCAACCUGGGAACUGCAUCCAAAACUGGCGAGCUAGAGUAGGGCAGAGGGUGGUGGAAUUUCCUGUGUAGCAGUGAAAUGCGUAGAUAUAAGAAGGAACACCAGUGGCGAAGGCGACCACCUGGGCUCAUACUGACACUGAGGUGCGAAGGCGUGGGGAGCAAACAAG